GUGCUCCCCCGCCAAUUCCUUUAAGUUUCAACCUUGCGGUCGUACUUCCCAAGUGGCCCGCUUCACGGCUUCCCUACGGCACCACGGCAGUUCACGACUGCCGUGACACCUAGCGGGCAUCGUUUACGGCUAGGACUACCCGGGUAUCUAGUCCGGUUCGUGCCCCUAGCUUUCGUCCCUCACCGUCGGACCUGUUCUGGUAGGACGCCUUCGCCACCGGUGGUCCCCAGAGGAUUACAGGAUUUCACUCCUACCCCCUGAGUACCUCCUACCUCUCCCAGUCCCAAGCAAUGUAGUAUCCCGCAGACGCCCAACGGUUAAGCCGCUGGAUUUCCCACAAGACUUGCAAAGCCGGCUACGGACCCUUUAGACUCAAUAAUAUCGGCCACCACUCGAGCCGCCGGUAUUACCGCGGCGGCUGGCACCGGUCUUGCCCGGCCCUUGCUAACAGCCGUUUUUUAGACAGCUGGACAGACACCUAAUGUAGAUGCCACUCGAUGUUCCCCUAUCGCAGUUGCCUGCAUUGUAGAGUUUUCGCGCCUGCUGCGCCCCGUAGGGCCUGGAUUCGUGUCUCAGAAUCCAUCUCCGGGCUCUUGCUCCCACAACCCGUACUGAUAAUCGGCACGCCGGUACUUUACACCGGCGUCAACCUAAUCAGGCGCAGACCCAUCCAAAGGCGCCAGAGCUUUCAAUCAAAAAACCCUUCCAGUACUCUUGACCUAUCCGGUAUUAUCCCCAGUUUCCCGGAGUUAUCCCAGACCUUUGGGUAGGUUGUCCACGCGUUACUGAGCCGU
rnacentral:rRNA from 1 species